rnacentral:lncRNA from 1 species
CGGUAUUGGUUAAAACAUCAUUCUACUCUGAAAAGUUACUUUGUAAAAAUGCUGGAGGAACCAACUAGGGGCAAAGCUUUUCUUGACCUGCUGCUCACAAACAGGGAAGAACUAGUAGGGGAAGCAAAAGUGGAUGGGAACCUGGGAGGCAGUGACCAUGAGAUAGUCGAGUUCAGGAUCCUAACACAAGGAAGAAAGGAGAGCAGCAGAAUAUGGACCCUGGACUUCAGAAAAGCAGACUUUGACUCCCUCAGGGAACAGAUGGGCAGGAUCCCCUGGGAGAAUAACAUGAAGGGCAAAGGGAUCCAGGAGAGCUGGCUGUAUUUUAAAGAAUCCUUAUUGCGGUUGCAGGAACAAACCAUCCCGAUGUGUAGAAAGAAUAGUAAAUAUGGCAGGCAACCAGCUUGGCUAAACAGCGAAAUCCUUGCUGAUCUUAAACGCAAAAAAGAAGCUUACAAGAAGUGGAAGAUUGGACAAAUGACCAGGGAGGAGUAUAAAAAUAUUGCUCAGGCAUGCAGGAGUGAAAUCAGGGAGGCCAAAUCACACUUGGAGUUGCAGUUAGCAAGAGAUGUUAAGAGUAACAAGAAGGGUUUCUUCAGGUAUGUUAGCAACAAGAAGAAAAUCAAGGAAAGUGUGGGUCCCUUACUGAAUGAGGGGGGCAACCUAGUGACUGAGGAUGUGGAAAAAGCUAAUGUACUCAAUGAUUUUUUUGCCUCUGUCUUCACGAACAAGGUCAGCUCCCAGAUUGCUGCACUGGGCAGUACAGCAUGGGGAGAAGGUGACCAGCCCUCUGUGGAGAAAGAAGUGGUUCGGGACUAUUUAGAUAAACUGGACGUGCACAAGUCCAUGGGGCCGGAUGCGUUGCAUCUGAGGGUGCUAAAGGAGUUGGCGGGUGAGAUUGCAGAGCCAUUAGCCAUUAUUUUUGAAAACUCAUGGCGAUUGGGGGAGGUCCCAGAUGACUGGAAAAAGGCUAAUGUAGUGCCCAUCUUUUAAAAAGGGAAGAAGGAGGAUCCGGGGAACUACAGGCCAGUCAGCCUCACCUCAGUCCCUGGAAAAAUCAUGGAGCAGGUCCUCAAGGAAUCAAUUANNNNNNNNNNNNNNNNNNNNNN